GAUGAACGCUGGCGGCGUGCUUAACACAUGCAAGUCGAACGGAAAGGCUCCUGCUUGCAGGGGUACUCGAGUGGCGAACGGGUGAGUAACACGUGGGUGAUCUGCCCUGCACUUCGGGAUAAGCCUGGGAAACUGGGUCUAAUACCGGAUAGGACGAUGGUUUGGAUGCCAUUGUGGAAAGUUUUUCGGUGUGGGAUGAGCUCGCGGCCUAUCAGCUUGUUGGUGGGGUAAUGGCCUACCAAGGCGUCGACGGGUAGCCGGCCUGAGAGGGUGUACGGCCACAUUUGGACUGAGAUACGGCCCAGACUCCUACGGGAGGCAGCAGUGGGGAAUAUUGCACAAUGGGCGCAAGCCUGAUGCAGCGACGCCGCGUGGGGGAUGACGGCCUUCGGGUUGUAAACUCCUUUCGCUAGGGACGAAGCGCAAGUGACGGUACCUGGAGAAGAAGCACCGGCUAACUACGUG
rnacentral:rRNA from 1 species